rnacentral:rRNA from 1 species
GAUGAACGCUGGCGGCGUGCCUAAUACAUGCAAGUCGAGCGAACGGACGAGAAGCUUGCUUCUCUGAUGUUAGCGGCGGACGGGUGAGUAACACGUGGAUAACCUACCUAUAAGACUGGGAUAACUUCGGGAAACCGGAGCUAAUACCGGAGAAUAUUUUGAACCGCAUGGUUCAAAAGUGAAAGACGGUCUUGCUGUCACUUAUAGAUGGAUCCGCGCUGCAUUAGCUAGUUGGUAAGGUAACGGCUUACCAAGGCAACGAUGCAUAGCCGACCUGAGAGGGUGAUCGGCCACACUGGAACUGAGACACGGUCCAGACUCCUACGGGAGGCAGCAGUAGGGAAUCUUCCGCAAUGGGCGAAAGCCUGACGGAGCAACGCCGCGUGAGUGAUGAAGGUCUUCGGAUCGUAAAACUCUGUUAUUAGGGAAGAACAUAUGUGUAAGUAACUGUGCACAUCUUGACGGUACCUAAUCAGAAAGCAACGGCUAACUACGUG